rnacentral:rRNA from 1 species
CCUACGGGCGGCUGCAGUGGGGAAUCUUGCACAAUGGACGAAAGUCUGAUGCAGCGACGCCUCGUGAGUGAUGAAGGUCUUCGGAUCGUAAAGCUCUUUCGACUGGGAAGAUAAUGACGGUACCAGGAGAAGAAGCUGCGGCUAACUACGUGCCAGCAGCCGCGGUAAUACGUAGGCAGCAAGCGUUGUUCGGAAUUACUGGGCGUAAAGAGUGUGUAGGCGGUGUCGUAAGUUUGGCGUGAAAUCUCCUGGCUUAACUGGGAGGGUGCGCCGAA